rnacentral:rRNA from 1 species
GACGAACGCUGGCGGCGUGCUUAACACAUGCGAGUCGAACGGAAAGGCCCUGCUUUUGUGGGGUGCUCGAGUGGCGAAAGGGUGAGUAAAACGUGAGUAACCUGCCCUUGACUUUGGGAUAAAUUCAGGAAACUGGGGCUAAUACCGGAUAGGAGCUCCUGCUGCAUGGGGGGGGUUGGAAAGUUUCGGCGGUUGGGGAUGGACUAGCGGCUUAUCAGCUUGUUGGUGGGGUAGUGGCUUACCAAGGCUUUGACGGGUAGCCGGCCUGAGAGGGUGACCGGCCACAUUGGGACUGAGAUACGGCCCAGACUCCUACGGUAGGCAGCAGUGGGGAAUAUUGCACAAUGGGCGGAAGCCUGAUGCAGCAACGCCGCGUGCGGGAUGACGGCCUUCGGGUUGUAAACCGCUUUCGCCUGUGACGAAGCGUGAGUGACGGUAAUGGGUAAAGAAGCACCGGCUAACUACGUG